AGCGUAGACGGCUGUGUAAGUCUGAAGUGAAAGCCCGGGGCUCAACCCCGGGACUGCUUUGGAAACUAUGCAGCUAGAGUGUCGGAGAGGUAAGUGGAAUUCCCAGUGUAGCGGUGAAAUGCGUAGAUAUUGGGAGGAACACCAGUGGCGAAGGCGGCUUACUGGACGAUGACUGACGUUGAGGCUCGAAAGCGUGGGGAGCAAACA
rnacentral:rRNA from 1 species